rnacentral:lncRNA from 1 species
GAAUGUUGUGGCCGUCAUUAAAGUGAAUUAUGUAUGUGGUUCUCAGGGGAACUAGAAAGACAACAGGUUGUGAGAAAUCAAACUAACAAGAACGGCACACAACUAGACAUCCACGCUGGACCUAGUUCUGCUUCAGGGGAUGAUUUUUAUGAGAAAACGGGAAGCAACACGGUAGAGCGCUCAGCAACACCUGGCCGUCCUGCCUAGCCCCGCCCCUGGCUCCGCCCUCACCAUCUCCCCCGACACCCUGAUCCAGUGCCAGCAGAUCGUGAAGGUGAUCGUCGUAGACUCUGCUGGGCGUGGCCACGUGGAGGCGUUCCUCAGCCACAACCCUGCCCAUCGCCUCAUCCAAUCAGCCGUCUCCACGCCCACCAGGUCACGGGAGGCAGGCAAGCAGCAGCAGCCGCCCCUCCCUCCCCCGCCGCCUCCUUAUCAUCACCCGCAUCAGUUUUGCCCCCCGACCCCUCCGCCUCCACGCCACCUGCUGAGCCAACGCAGGUACUCCAGCGGGACACGCAGCCUAGUCUGAACAACACACAGAUCGGUUAACAACUGUUAAAGGGACGGUUCACUUAAAAAGAACAUUCUGUCUUUAUUUAAUCAACCUCAUGUUGUUCCAAACCCAUAUGAGACCCUGGAUCACAAAACCAUUCAUAAGGGUCAUUUUUUUAAAAUUGAGAUUUAUACAUUGUCACCUGAAUAAAUAAGCUUUGCAUUGAUGUAUGGUUGGUUAGGAUAGGACAAUAUUUGGCCGAGAUACAACUAUUUGAAAAUCUGGAAUCUGAGGGUGCAAAAAAAUCUAAACAUUGAGAAAAUCGCAUUUAAAGUUGUCCAAAUGAAGUUCUUAGCAAUGCAUAUUACUAAUCAAAAACUAAGUUUUGAUAUAUUUAUGGUAGGAAAUUUACAAAAUAUCUUCAUGGAACAUGAUCUUUACUUAAUGUCCUAAUGAUUCUUGGCAUAAAAGAAAAAUUUUAUCAUUUUGACCCAUACAAUGUAUUGUUGGCUAUUGCUACAAAUAUACCCGUGUUUUGUGGUCCAGGGUCACAAAUGCUAUUUUUUCAGAACAAAAAACAUUUUGAAUAAUCUUUACACAGCUUUUUUCAAUACAAAGACAAUUUAUAGUUAAAAAAACACAGCAUAAAAAGCACAAUUAAAUACAGUCUGUACAAUUUGUGGGCGCUGAAGUCCUCUGAAGCCAUAUGUAAUUUAUGUCCAUAAAAUGUAUGUUCACUGGAAUACUAAAUGACUUUCACAGAAACAUUAAGAUGCAUUAAUGUUUUUUAAAGAAACGGAAAAAAAAGAAAAAC